rnacentral:misc_RNA from 1 species
GAUGAAGAACGUAGCGAAAUGCGAUAAGUAAUGUGAAUUGCAGAAUUCAGUGAAUCAUCGAAUCUUUGAACGCACAUUGCGCCCGCCAGUAUUCUGGCGGGCAUGCCUGUUCGAGCGUCAUUUCAACCAUCAAGCCCCCGGGCUUGUGUUGGGGACCUGCGGCUGCCGCAGGCCCUGAAAAGCAGUGGCGGGCUCGCUGUCACACCGAGCGUAGUAGAUUUUAUCUCGCUCUGGGCGUGCUGCGGGUUCCGGCCGUUAAACCACCCUUUUAACCCAAGGUUGACCUCGGAUCAGGUAGGAAGACCCGCUAAACUUAAGCAUAUCAAUAAGCGGAGGA